rnacentral:other from 1 species
AUAUCCCUGCAGUGCUCGUUGGAACUUUGAUAAUUGUUGAACCAACAUCAAUUUCAAGGGAGCCCGUUAUUCUUUAAGUGCCUUCGCGCACUCAAAGAUAGGGCACCCACCUGAAACCAAAACGGUUCAGACUAUUCAGUCCAACGGCACAGGCGGGGAUUUU